GUGCCAGCCGCCGCGGUAAUACGGGGGGGGCGAGCGUUAUUCGGAAUUAUUGGGCGUAAAGGGCGCGUAGGCGGCCAGGCAAGUCAAAGGUGAAAUCCCUCGGCUCAACCGAGGAAUGGCCUUUGAAACUGCCUGGCUAGAGGCCGGGAGGGGGUAGCGGAAUUCCCAGUGUAGCGGUGAAAUGCGUAGAUACUGGGAGGAACACCAGUGGCGAAGGCGGCUACCUGGACCGGUUCUGACGCUGAUGCGCGAAAGCGUGGGGAGCAAACAGGAUUAGAUACCCUUGUAGUCC
rnacentral:rRNA from 1 species